rnacentral:rRNA from 1 species
AGUUUGNCUUGACAGAUUGAGAGCUCUUUCUUGAUUCNAUGGGUGGUGGUGCAUGGCCGUUCUUAGUUGGUGGAGUGAUUUGUCUGGUUAAUUCCGAUAACGAACGAGACNCUAGCCUGCUAAAUAGUNCCNCGAANGUUUUUUCAUUG